rnacentral:rRNA from 1 species
UGGGGAAUAUUGCACAAUGGGCGGAAGCCUGAUGCAGCGACGCCGCGUGGGGGAUGAAGGCCUUCGGGUUGUAAACUCCUUUCGACAGGGACGAAGCGUAAGUGACGGUACCUGUAUAAGAAGCACCGGCUAACUCCGUGCCAGCAGCCGCGGUAAUACGGAGGGUGCGAGCGUUAAUCGGAAUAACUGGGCGUAAAGGGCACGCAGGCGGACUUUUAAGUGAGGUGUGAAAUCCCCGGGCUUAACCUGGGAAUUGCAUUUCAGACUGGGGGUCUAGAGUACUUUAGGGAGGGGUAGAAUUCCACGUGUAGCGGUGAAAUGCGUAGAGAUGUGGAGGAAUACCGAAGGCGAAGGCAGCCCCUUGGGAAUGUACUGACGCUCAUGUGCGAAAGCGUGGGGAGCAAACAGGAUUAGAUACCCUGGUAGUCCACGCUGUAAACGCUGUCGAUUUGGGGAUUGGGCCUUGAGCUUGGUGCCCGAAGCUAACGUGAUAAAUCGACCGCCUGGGGAGUACGGCCGCAAGGUUA